rnacentral:misc_RNA from 1 species
GAAAUGCGAUAAGUAAUGUGAAUUGCAGAAUUCCGCGAAUCAUCGAAUCUUUGAACGCACAUUGCGCCCUCUGGUAUUCCGGGGGGCAUGCCUGUCCGAGCGUCAUUGCGAACCCCUCAAGCACGGCUUGUGUGAUGGGCCCUCCCGCGUCUUGGUCGUCAAGACGGGCCCGAAAUGCAGUGGCGGCUUCGCGGUUAUCCGAUCAGCCAGAGCGUAUGGGGACUUUCUCUCUGUCACACGCCCGCGGCGCGGACCGACGCCUGUCGACCUUCAUUCAUCGUUUUCUCGGUUGACCUCGGAUCAGGUAGGGAUACCCGCUGAACUUAAGC